GAUGAACGCUGGCGGCAUGCCUAAGACAUGCAAGUCGUACGAAGUGGCCCGUUGAAGUUUUGUGCUUGCACAAAAUGGAUUCGGUUUACCACUUAGUGGCGCAAGGGUGAGUAACACGUGGGUUAUCUACCUCAGAGACUGGGAUAACAAUUGGAAACGAUUGCUAAUACCGGAUGAUAUCUAAGACGAUACGUUGUCUUAAAUUAAAAGGAGCCUUUAAAGCUUCACUUUGAGAUGGGCCUGCGGCGUAUUAGCUAGUUGGUAGGGUAAUGGCCUACCAAGGCAACGAUGCGUAGCCGACCUGAGAGGGUGAUCGGCCACACUGGGACUGAGACACGGCCCAGACUCCUACGGGAGACAGCAGUUAGGAAUAUUCGUCAAUGGGGAACCCUGAACGAGCAAUGCCGCGUGAGUGAUGACGGUCCUAUGGAUUGUAAACUCUGUUGUUAGGGUAAGAACGACCUAUGUAGGAAAUGACAUAGGAGUGACGGUAC
rnacentral:rRNA from 1 species